GGGAGGAUCUUCCUCCAAGCAUCCCAACCACAGCUUCUCUGGAUGCGGCUGAUCUUCCUCCUGAAAGCGGCAGCAGGGACCAGCUGAACAACAGACUUACGGAUUUCGUCGCAACAAUAAAGAGUGGGAUGACCGAAGGAAGGCGCUCCGAGAUCUUGCGCCUUCCUGCAGAAGAUCCAGGAACAUCCAUCGGCAGUGAUUCAUGCAUGCUCCUAUGGCCAACUGGUG